GGAGGGGUAGCGAAGUGGCUAAACGCGACUGACUGUAACUCAGUUCCUUAGGGUUCGGCGGUUCGAAUCCGCCCCCCUCCACCA
rnacentral:tRNA from 1 species